GGCCUUAUGGUCUAGUCGUAUGAUUCUCCCUUUGGGUUUCCUGGUCUUAUGAUGAACGGAUCUGAUUGGGAGAGGUCUCGGGUUCAAUUCCCGAUGAGGCCC
rnacentral:tRNA from 1 species